rnacentral:pre_miRNA from 1 species
CAAAUACUCCCUUCGUCCGGAAAUACUUGUCAUCAAAAUGGAUAAAAGGAAAUGUAUCUAGACGUAUUUUAGUUUUAGAUACAUCUCUUUUUAUCCAUUUUGAUGACAAGUAUUUUCGGACGAAGGGAGUAGAAA